GGGAAUUGAUUGUGAAAGAUAGUGGGGUAGACCCGUGGCCAUCGUCAUAGCCCGCCACGUAGGGCCUGUUGCAGGUAGUGGAGCGGCGCCCAUUGCCGCUAGUUGUCAGCGAGUAGUGGGAUCGUGCAGCACCUGCCGCAGGGAGCGGAGCAGCAUCGUGGCCGUUGACACAGCCUGUCAGAGAGUAAUGGGUCCGCCGUAGGGGGUGAUGGAGCCGCACGGAAUCUGCUACAGGAAGUGGAACAGGAUCAUGGUUGUUAUUGUGAUCUGCCAAGG
rnacentral:lncRNA from 1 species